CAAGUCGAACGAAACUUUCUUACACCGAAUGCUUGCAUUCACCGUAAGAAGUUGAGUGGCGGACGGGUGAGUAACACGUGGGUAACCUGCCCUAAAAGAAGGGGAUAACACUUGGAAACAGGUGCUAAUACCGUAUAUCUCUAAGGAUCGCAUGAUUCUUAGAUGAAAGAUGGUUCUGCUAUCGCUUUUAGAUGGACCCGCGGCGUAUUAACUAGUUGGUGGGGUAACGGCCUACCAAGGUGAUGAUACGUAGCCGAACUGAGAGGUUGAUCGGCCACAUUGGGACUGAGACACGGCCCAAACUCCUACGGGAGGCAGCAGUAGGGAAUCUUCCACAAUGGACGCAAGUCUGAUGGAGCAACGCCGCGUGAGUGAAGAAGGUCUUCGGAUCGUAAAACUCUGUUGUUAGAGAAGAACACGAGUGAGAGUAACUGUUCAUUCGAUGACGGUAUCUAACCAGCAAGUCACGGCUAACUACGUGCCAGCAGCCGCGGUAAUACGUAGGUGGCAAGCGUUGUCCGGAUUUAUUGGGCGUAAAGGGAACGCAGGCGGUCUUUUAAGUCUGAUGUGAAAGCCUUCGGCUUAACCGGAGUAGUGCAUUGGAAACUGGAAGACUUGAGUGCAGAAGAGGAGAGUGGAACUCCAUGUGUAGCGGUGAAAUGCGUAGAUAUAUGGAAGAAC
rnacentral:rRNA from 1 species